rnacentral:rRNA from 1 species
ACAGAGUGACAGGUGGUGCAUGGUUGUCGUCAGCUCGUGUCGUGAGAUGUUGGGUUAAGUCCCGCAACGAGCGCAACCCUUGAUCUUAGUUGCCAGCAUUCAGUUGGGCACUCUAAGGUGACUGCCGGUGACAAACCGGAGGAAGGUGGGGAUGACGUCAAAUCAUCAUGCCCCUUAUGACCUGGGCUACACACGUGCUACAAUGGAUGGUACAAAGGGCAGCGAAGCCGCGAGGUGGAGCCAAUCCCAUAAAACCAUUCUCAGUUCGGAUUGCAGGCUGCAACUCGCCUGCAUGAAGCCGGAAUCGCUAGUAAUCGCGGAUCAGCAUGCCGCGGUGAAUACGUUCCCGGGCCUUGUACACACCGCCCGUCACACCACGAGAGUUUGUAACACCCGAAGUCGGUGGGGUAACCGUAAGGAGGCAGCCGCCUAAGGUGGGACAGAUGAUUGGGGUGAAGUCGUAACAAGGUAGCCGUAUCGGAAGGUGCGGCUGGAAC